GACAUGUUGACUCAAGUCUUAUCAAACUUAUUAGUUCCGAUUGUAAAGGAGCAAUAAUGCAUUGGCUCUCAAUUGAGCUCAUUAACCAAGACUGUUAAUGAUAUGAGAGGAAUUCUGAUCCAGACCCGUAGAAUUUGUGAAAAUACAAGUACAGUAAAUAAAAUUGAGCUUGAGUUCGAUUUAGAUGGUAUCAAUCUACCAUGUAGAGAUAUAACUGAAUUCACCAUAUUCGAGAGAAAGUUGAGCGACACUCCAAGCUUCCGGGAUAAAAUUGUAUGCAAGCUGGCUUCAAUGGCGAAUACCAGUCAAGCGAUGGUCCACAG
rnacentral:misc_RNA from 1 species